rnacentral:lncRNA from 1 species
GGCAAAGAUGAACUUAUCCAGCAGGUGAUGAGGUCCGUAGCACCGUACAAUCUGAUCCAUCGGCACGCUGGUCCAGCUGGAACAGGAGAUCGACACCUUGACUAAUGUCCAGGCUAUUUGUUGUCGCCGCAUAUCUCGAGCAAAGAGGACGCUAUAGAACAGCUGUCGGAUCUUCGGUCCAUUCUACUAAACAAGGAUAGCCUUACCAAACGGGAAUAGCAGACGAAAACAGAAAAACUACGCGUUUCGAUCUUUGUUAAUGGAUUACGGCGAAGCCCAGCAGAAAACCUAAUAGAUCUCAAAGUGGCCAGAGUAGCGUCAACCCAUAAAGUGGAUACCGAGCAGGUUGAAUCCUAACUCAACUAUCGGAAGUUGCGCUUCUGCCUGGGAAAAGAGAUGUGCAUGCUUGACUUCGUAUUCUAGGCGUGCUGUUAGUUCAGCAGCAGGGGAACUUUUGAGCAGGAUCUUUGCUCAGAGAGGUUAACCGGAAUUUCACUCGACUAUGGGACCGCAGUACUCUUUUUUACAAGCGAGCAAGUGGAGGCGAGGGUAGAGCGGGAAUGAGUCUGGUGGUGCGCGCGCAAUUCUUCGCUUCCCACCGGUUUGAUGGAAUUUAAAAAGUUUUCAUGAUUAAAUAUGUCAAAGAAACUGACGUAGUGCAUGAAACAAGGGUGCGAGGAGGUGGGAAGAAACGAAUGAGUAAAGUUUUUCAGAGUGCACACGUUGGAGCCGCCCCUUUUUUGCGACAGCGUAGCGGCGUACAGUCGUGUCGCGAAACUGGGGUAUCCAGAUUGCCGGCAUAUUCUACACCUACGAAACGCUGGCUACAGAGAAAAUCUUGGCCUUCGUGAUACUUGUGGAUGCCUUCUCUAUGGCCAGUAUACCCAGGAGAAAGAAGACGAUUUCACUGAGACGGCCCCGUGAGUUUCCAAAAAAAGUUUAUCGUCGCUGAAAAAGGUCUGGAGAGUCAGGGGAAAAGCCAGUGGUUUGGGUGUGGAUCGAUCUGUAGCGGGCUCAGGUGGCGACAUUUCUCUUGAAAGAGUGCGAUUUUCAGGCUUCCAAAGCGGAUUAAAUGCAAGCACACGAAAAUAAGUUUGCCUCGAACCAGACAGGUGUUUCACGCCCGUGAAUCUCGAGUUGCGACCGCAAAACGCAGAC